AUACGGAGGGUGCGAGCGUUAAUCGGAAUUACUGGGCGUAAAGCGUACGUAGGCGGUUGGUUAAGUUAGAUGUGAAAGCCCCGGGCUUAACCUGGGAACUGCAUUUAAAACUGGCGAACUAGAGUUGAGUAGAGGGGAGUGGAAUUUCAGGUGUGGCGGUGAAAUGCGUAGAGAUCUGAAGGAACACCAGUGGCGAAGGCGACUCCCUGGACUCGAACUGACGCUGAGGUACGAAAGCGUGGGUAGCAAACGGGAUUAGAAACCCCAGUAGUCC
rnacentral:rRNA from 1 species